rnacentral:rRNA from 1 species
GGUAGCUGCGUGGUCCAUGGAGCCGCUCGGCGUCCUGCACCCGAUGGGGGCGAGCGCAGCGACACUCCACAUCUGGUGCUGCUCCCUAUGACGACCGGUGGGGCGAGCGGUGGCGGCGGCCGGUGGCGCGGGCGAAGGUGGACUCCAGCGGGCACACGCGGGUCGAGGUGGGCGCUGGGCAGUCGCGCAGGCGGCUGUGGGCUCCGGUAGGCAGACGCGGGCGGAGGCGUGCUCCAUCGGAGAUGCGGGAGGAGGCAGGGGCGCGCGGCGGCGUCCGUACGCGGGCGGAGGCGGGAGGCGCCC